rnacentral:rRNA from 1 species
AAGUCGAACGAAGCACCUUACCUGAUUCUUCGGAUGAAGGUCUGGUGACUGAGUGGCGGACGGGUGAGUAACGCGUGGGUAACCUGCCCUGUACAGGGGGAUAACAGUUGGAAACGGCUGCUAAUACCGCAUAAGCGCACGAGAGGACAUCCUCUUGUGUGAAAAACUCCGGUGGUACAGGAUGGGCCCGCGUCUGAUUAGCUAGAUGGUGAGGUAACGGCCCACCAUGGCGACGAUCGGUAGCCGGACUGAGAGGUUGAUCGGCCACAUUGGGACUGAGACACGGCCCAGACUUCUACGGGAGGCAGCAGUGGGGAAUAUUGCACAAUGGAGGAAACUCUGAUGCAGCGACGCCGCGUGAGGGAAGAAGGUCUUCGGAUUGUAAACCUCUGUUGUCAGGGACGAUAAUGACGGUACCUGACGAGGAAGCCACGGCUAGCUACGUGCCAGCAGCCGCGGUAAAACGUAGGUGGCAAGCGUUGUCCGGAAUUACUGGGUGUAAAGGGAGCGCAGGCGGAUUUGCAAGUUGGAAGUGAAACCCAUGGGCUCAACCCAUGGACUGCUUUCAAAACUGCAGAUCUUGAGUGGUGUAGAGGUAGGCGGAAUUCCCGGUGUAGCGGUGGAAUGCGUAGAUAUCGGGAGGA